CAGCCGUAAACUAUGCGCGUUAGGUGUAUCGGUGACCACGAGUCACCGAGGUGCCGAAGGGAAACCGUGAAACGUGCCGCCUGGGAAGUACGGUCGCAAGGCUGAAACUUAAGGGAAUUGGCGGGGGAGCACCACAACGGGUGGAGCCUGCGGUUUAAUUUGGACUCAACGCCGGGAAGCUCACCGGAUAAGACAGCGGAAUGAUUGCCGGGCUGAAGACUCUGCAUGACUAGCUGAGAGGAGGUGCAUGGCGUAGACGUCU
rnacentral:rRNA from 1 species